rnacentral:tRNA from 1 species
CGCGGGGUGGAGCAGUUCGGUAGCUCGUCGGGCUCAUAACCCGAAGGUCGUCGGUUCAAAUCCGGCCCCCGCAACCA